rnacentral:rRNA from 1 species
UUGCAGUCGAACGGCAGCAUGACCUAGCUUGCUAGGUUGAUGGCGAGUGGCGAACGGGUGAGUAAUGCACCGGAACGUACCCAGUAAUGGGGGAUAACGCACCGAAAGGUGUGCUAAUACCGCAUACGCCCUGAGGGGGAAAGCGGGGGAUCGUAAGACCUCGCGUUAUUGGAGCGGCCGAUGCCGGAUUAGCUAGUUGGUGGGGUAAAGGCCUACCAAGGCGACGAUCCGUAGCUGGUCUGAGAGGACGACCAGCCACACUGGGACUGAGACACGGCCCAGACUCCUACGGGAGGCAGCAGUGGGGAAUUUUGGACAAUGGGCGCAAGCCUGAUCCAGCCAUGCCGCGUGAGUGAAGAAGGCCUUCGGGUUGUAAAGCUCUUUCGCAAGGAAAGAAAACUUAGCUACUAAUACUAGCUGAGGAUGACGGUACCUUGAUAAGAAGCACCGGCUAACUACGUGCCAGCAGCCGCGGUAAUACGUAGGGUGCGAGCGUUAAUCGGAAUUACUGGGCGUAAAGCGUGCGCAGGCGGUUCGAUAAGUCUGAUGUGAAAUCCCCGGGCUCAACCUGGGAACUGCGUUGGAAACUGUCGAGCUAGAGUGUAGAAGAGGGGGGUAGAAUUCCACGUGUAGCAGUGAAAUGCGUAGAGAUGUGGAGGAAUACCGAUGGC